rnacentral:rRNA from 1 species
AUGGCGCUGCUGGAGAACUUCGACGGCGGCCAUCGGGCCAUCGUCAUCGAAGACGUCCCGCCGGGCACCGGGAUCGCAGACCUCGUCGGCGCCUUCUCUCCUUUCGACACGAUCCAGUUCGCCUCCAUGGGACCUCCGGCCGUCGUGGGCUUCGAGAGCGAGGAGGCCGCGGCGCACGCGCUGCUUGUGGCGUCCAUGAAGAGCGUCAGCCUCCUCGGCGUCUACAGGGAGAAGGCGACCUGUCCGAUCGAGGCCGCUGCGAUGCCGCCAUCAGACGUGGCUGCGGCGCCAGUGAGAGCGACCAGUACGACGACCGAGACCAAGACCAGCCAGAACAUAGACCAGGAGGCUACAAUUAGGCCUUGUACUGGCCGGACGACAACUACUACGACGCCUGGUUUGCCGGCUACCAGGCUGGAGCCAAGGAUUCUCCGAUUGGUUGAAUUUACAGAACCUCAAAGCUGCAUCCAGGAGCUGGUGAUUUUUUUUAUACGUUAA